GUGAAUCAUCGAAUUUUUGAACGCAUAUUGCACUCUCUGGUAUUCCGGAGAGUAUGCCUGUUUGAGGGUAGUUAAAAAGAAUCUUUAAUAAAUUUUUUUGGUAAUAGGAUAUGAGUUUUCAGGGUGUAUAGCGGUAGUUUGAUAUAAAUGGUUAAGUCUCAUUUUAGUAGAGACGCGUAAUAAUAUUAUUUCGCGAAAUCUUCAUUAUGUGUCUAUCAAGUUUUGAUACAUACAAAUUU
rnacentral:misc_RNA from 1 species